GACCUGAGCUCAUGGC
rnacentral:rRNA from 1 species